GCCUCGUUUCCUUCCGUGAAUGCUAAGACAGUCAUGUUCAUACUAAAACCUAGCGUACAAAAAUUUUGCAAUAAAAUGAACUACGAACUCCUGUAUACAAACAAAUACACGAAAUUUGUGUAAUAUGAAACUUUAAAGCUCUGUCUAAAGCAUGAGUCACGUUUAAUUUACGCCUGAAGAAUGUUUCAAGUUCAUUGAAAACAGCAAAUUCUACGGUUUACUAGUUUGAAUUUCUUUACUGUUAUACGUUGAAGAAUAAACACACAAGAAAACGUCUAUUGGAAAUGAAAUGAUGAACUGUGAGCGGUGGCAAUUCUGAUAUCGAUAAAAAAUACAAUCACGUUUUGUUACAAAUAUCAUUAUAUAUAAUAAUUUACACAGUAUACGGAAUAUAAUGAUUGAAUCCACUGAAUAUAUGUAUAUAGUUAAAAACGUGUAUUCGUUAGGUCACCUGCUCAUUUAAAGAAAAAUUAAAUCACUUAAGUAAAACAAGCAGACGGUAUAGCAGAGUCUAGACAUGAUGAUUCACGACAAGUUUAUAAAAUUUAAUACAGGAAACUACAAGAGAUUGCCAAUACACCUUCCAGGCUUCCAAGUCAAUUUGGAAAGCGGAAAAGCUGUCGGAAAUACGUCGAUAAUUGUUCAAAUUAUAAAAGUAAAGAAAACAAAGCAAAAUCGACAAAUCAAUAAAAAUCCAUGAUACAAAAAAAAUCCUUGCGCCAUAACAGUGUAUUCAAUAAGUCAAUAAGUCACGAGGAUUACUUUAACGUGUCAAUACAAAUAGUUAAUACGUCAUCAACACCACCAUUAACUCGUCUUGAAUUAGUACUUUUUACAAAUCCAGAAAUCAAGGAAUUGGUAAGAUUUGAAGAUGCUGAUAUGUUGUCAAAAUGAACGAGGCAACCCAGAAAUCAUGCUGAAACCAACUAAUAUACAGCAUAAAUGUUAUUUUAUCAAAUGAUUUCAAUACCUCUUCUUAAUCUUAAUUUCACAAGAUCUGGUGAUUUUCUUAUUGUUUCCACAACUGUAAAGUACAAUUUGAAUGAACAUUAAUUAAAACAAUCUACUUCAACCAAAA